rnacentral:rRNA from 1 species
AGUGAACGCUGGCGGUAGGCCUAACACAUGCAAGUCGAACGGCAGCACAGUAAGAGCUUGCUCUUACGGGUGGCGAGUGGCGGACGGGUGAGGAAUACAUCGGAAUCUACUUUUUCGUGGGGGAUAACGUAGGGAAACUUACGCUAAUACCGCAUACGACCUACGGGUGAAAGCAGGGGAUCUUCGGACCUUGCGCGAUUGAACGAGCCGAUGUCGGAUUAGCUAGUUGGCGGGGUAAAGGCCCACCAAGGCGACGAUCCGUAGCUGGUCUGAGAGGAUGAUCAGCCACACUGGAACUGAGACACGGUCCAGACCCCUACGGGAGGCAGCAGUGGGGAAUAUUGGACAAUGGGCGCAAGCCUGAUCCAGCCAUACCGCGUGGGUGAAGAAGGCCUUCGGGUUGUAAAGCCCUUUUGUUGGGAAAGAAAAGCAGCAGGUUAAUACCCCGCUGUUCUGACGGUACCCAAAGAAUAAGCACCGGCUAACUUCGUG